rnacentral:rRNA from 1 species
UUAAGCGACUAAGCGUACACGGUGGAUGCCCUGGCAGUCAGAGGCGAUGAAGGACGUGCUAAUCUGCGAAAAGCGUCGGUAAGGUGAUAUGAACCGUUAUANNNNNNNNNNNNNNNNNNNNNNCACUAUCGUUAACUGAAUACAUAGGUUAACGAGGCGAACCGGGGGAACUGAAACAUCUAAGUACCCCGAGGAAAAGAAAUCAACCGAGAUUCCCCCAGUAGCGGCGAGCGAACGGGGAGCAGCCCAGAGUCUGAAUCAGCUUGUGUGUUAGUGGAACGGUCUGGAAAGUCCGACGGUACAGGGUGAUAGUCCCGUACACCAAAAUGCACAGGCUGUGAACUCGAAGAGUAGGGCGGGACACGUGGUAUCCUGUCUGAAUAUGGGGGGACCAUCCUCCAAGGCUAAAUACUCCUGACUGACCGAUAGUGAACCAGUACCGUGAGGGAAAGGCGAAAAGAACCCCGGCGAGGGGAGUGAAAAAGAACCUGAAACCGUGUACGUACAAGCAGUGGGAGCACCUUCGGGUGUGACUGCGUACCUUUUGUAUAAUGGGUCAGCGACUUAUAUUCUGUAGCAAGGUUAACCGUAUAGGGGAGCCGCAGGGAAACCGAGUCUUAACUGGGCGUUAAGUUGCAGGGUAUAGACCCGAAACCCGGUGAUCUAGCCAUGGGCAGGUUGAAGGUUGGGUAACACUAACUGGAGGACCGAACCGACUAAUGUUGAAAAAUUAGCGGAUGACUUGUGGCUGGGGGUGAAAGGCCAAUCAAACCGGGAGAUAGCUGGUUCUCCCCGAAAGCUAUUUAGGUAGCGCCUCGUGAACUCAUCUUCGGGGGUAGAGCACUGUUUCGGCUAGGGGGUCAUCCCGACUUACCAACCCGAUGCAAACUACGAAUACCGAAGAAUGUUAUCACGGGAGACACACGGCGGGUGCUAACGUCCGUCGUGAAGAGGGAAACAACCCAGACCGCCAGCUAAGGUCCCAAAGUCAUGGUUAAGUGGGAAACGAUGUGGGAAGGCACAGACAGCCAGGAUGUUGGCUUAGAAGCAGCCAUCAUUUAAAGAAAGCGUAAUAGCUCACUGGUCGAGUCGGCCUGCGCGGAAGAUGUAACGGGGCUAAACCAUGCACCGAAGCUGCGGCAGCGACACUAUGUGUUGUUGGGUAGGGGAGCGUUCUGUAAGCCUGCGAAGGUGUGCUGUGAGGCAUGCUGGAGGUAUCAGAAGUGCGAAUGCUGACAUAAGUAACGAUAAAGCGGGUGAAAAGCCCGCUCGCCGGAAGACCAAGGGUUCCUGUCCAACGUUAAUCGGGGCAGGGUGAGUCGACCCCUAAGGCGAGGCCGAAAGGCGUAGUCGAUGGGAAACAGGUUAAUAUUCCUGUACUUGGUGUUACUGCGAAGGGGGGACGGAGAAGGCUAUGUUAGCCGGGCGACGGUUGUCCCGGUUUAAGCAUGUAGGCUGAUUGUCCAGGCAAAUCCGGAUAAUCAAGGCUGAGGUGUGAUGACGAGGCACUACGGUGCUGAAGUAACAAAUGCCCUGCUUCCAGGAAAAGCCUCUAAGCAUCAGGUAACAUCAAAUCGUACCCCAAACCGACACAGGUGGUCAGGUAGAGAAUACCAAGGCGCUUGAGAGAACUCGGGUGAAGGAACUAGGCAAAAUGGUGCCGUAACUUCGGGAGAAGGCACGCUGGUGUGUAGGUGAAGCCCCUGCGGGUGGAGCUGAGACCAGUCGAAGAUACCAGCUGGCUGCAACUGUUUAUUAAAAACACAGCACUGUGCAAACACGAAAGUGGACGUAUACGGUGUGACGCCUGCCCGGUGCCGGAAGGUUAAUUGAUGGGGUUAUCCGUAAGGAGAAGCUCUUGAUCGAAGCCCCGGUAAACGGCGGCCGUAACUAUAACGGUCCUAAGGUAGCGAAAUUCCUUGUCGGGUAAGUUCCGACCUGCACGAAUGGCGUAAUGAUGGCCAGGCUGUCUCCACCCGAGACUCAGUGAAAUUGAACUCGCUGUGAAGAUGCAGUGUACCCGCGGCAAGACGGAAAGACCCCGUGAACCUUUACUAUAGCUUGACACUGAACAUUGAGCCUUGAUGUGUAGGAUAGGUGGGAGGCUUUGAAGCGUGGACGCCAGUCUGCGUGGAGCCAACCUUGAAAUACCACCCUUUAAUGUUUGAUGUUCUAACGUUGGCCCCUGACCGGGGUUGCGGACAGUGUCUGGUGGGUAGUUUGACUGGGGCGGUCUCCUCCCAAAGCGUAACGGAGGAGCACGAAGGUUAGCUAAUCCUGGUCGGACAUCAGGAGGUUAGUGCAAUGGCAUAAGCUAGCUUGACUGCGAGCGUGACGGCGCGAGCAGGUGCGAAAGCAGGUCAUAGUGAUCCGGUGGUUCUGAAUGGAAGGGCCAUCGCUCAACGGAUAAAAGGUACUCCGGGGAUAACAGGCUGAUACCGCCCAAGAGUUCAUAUCGACGGCGGUGUUUGGCACCUCGAUGUCGGCUCAUCACAUCCUGGGGCUGAAGUAGGUCCCAAGGGUAUGGCUGUUCGCCAUUUAAAGUGGUACGCGAGCUGGGUUUAGAACGUCGUGAGACAGUUCGGUCCCUAUCUGCCGUGGGCGCUGGAGAAUUGAGGGGGGCUGCUCCUAGUACGAGAGGACCGGAGUGGACGCAUCACUGGUGUUCGGGUUGUCAUGCCAAUGGCACUGCCCGGUAGCUAAAUGCGGAAGAGAUAAGUGCUGAAAGCAUCUAAGCACGAAACUUGCCCCGAGAUGAGUUCUCCCUGAGACUUUAAGUCUCCUGAAGGAACGUUAAAGACGAUGACGUUGAUAGGCCGGGUGUGUAAGCGCAGCGAUGCGUUGAGCUAACCGGUACUAAUGAACCGUGAGGCUUAACCUU